rnacentral:rRNA from 1 species
UCAAGCUAGAAAGGGCACGCGGUGGAUGCCUCGGCACCAGGGGCCGAAGAAGGGCGUGGCAAGCUGCGAAAAGCCCCGGGGAGCCGCAAGCAGGCUGUGAUCCGGGGAUGCCCGAAUGGGGAAACCUGACGGGGAAAACCCCCGUCACCAGCAGGUGAAUCCAUAGCCUGCUGGGGGGCAGCCCGCGAACUGAAACAUCUUAGUAGCGGGACGAAAAGAAAGCAACCGCGAUGCCCCGAGUAGUGGCGAGCGAAAGGGGCAAAGCCCAAACCGUCACCGUGUAAAAGCCCGCAGGCGUUGCGGUGGCGGUGUAGCGGGACAGCACCAGAGGGGGCUGCGGACCCCUCAGGGAGUUACAAAACCCCGACCUAGCCGAAGUGGCCUGGAACGGCCCGCCGUAGAGGGUGAGAGCCCCGUAGGCGAAAGGUCAGGGGUCUCCCGGGGUGCUGCUCCCAAGUAGCUCGGGCCCCGUGAAAGCCUGAGCGAAUCUGGGGGGACCACCCUCUAAGGCUAAAUACCCCUGGUGACCGAUAGCGCACCAGUACCGUGAGGGAAAGGUGAAAAGAACGGUGGGAAGCCGAGUGAAAUAGAGCCUGAAACCGCGUGCCUACAAGCAGUCGGAGGGCUAUGCCCCGUGACAAUCACGGGGAAUGCCUGACGGCGUGCCUCUUGAAGAAUGAGCCGGGGAGUUGCCGUCGGUGGCGAGGCUAAGCGCCAUCAGGCGCGGAGCCGUAGGGAAACCGAGUCUGAAUAGGGCGUUAGUCGCCGGCGGCAGACCCGAAACCGAGCGAGCUACCCCUGCCCAGGGUGAAGUGCCCUUAACCGGGCACGGAGGCCCGAACCCGUCGGUGUUGCAAAACCGUGGGAUGAGGUGGGGGUAGCGGUGAAACGCCAAUCGAGCUCGGAGAUAGCUGGUUCUCCCCGAAACACGUGUAGGCGUGACGUCGGGCCAUUAAGCGGCGGAGGUAGAGCCACGGAUGGGGGUAGGGGGUUAACAGCCUACCAAACCCCGUCCAACUCCGAAUGCCGCCGCUGGUCCCUUUAUGGGGCUAAGGCCCGGCAGUCGGACUCCGGGGGAUAAGCUCCGGAGUCGCGAGGGAAACAGCCCAGACCGCCAGCUAAGGCCCCCAAGUCCCGGCUUAGUGGGGAACGCGGUGGGGCUCCUAAGACAGCCGGGAGGUUGGCUUAGAAGCAGCCAUCCUUUAAACAGUGCGUAACAGCUGACCGGCCGAGGAGCCCUGCGCGGAAGAUUCAACGGGGCUAAGCCGGGCGCCGAAGCUGCGGGCUUGGCGGAACUGCCUAUAAGGCAUUCCGUCAGGCGGUAGGGGAGCGUUCCGCCUGCUGUGAAGCCCGACCGAAAGGACGGGUGGAGCGGGCGGAAGUGAGAAUCCCGGCACGAGUAGCGAUAAGGCCGGUGAGAAUCCGGCCCGCCGGAAGCCCAAGGUUUCCGACGCAACGCUCGUCGGCGUCGGGUUAGGCGGUCCUAAGCCGAGGCCGUUCGGCGUAGGCGAUGGGCAGCCGGUUGACAUUCCGGCCCCACCGACCUCCGCCAUCAGGGAUGGGGGACGCUCCCAAGGGAGCCUACGCGGCGAUGGUCGUCCGCGGCGACCGUGGAGUGAGCCNUCCNANNGGAUGGNUCGCUUGGCGGGAGNGAGCCGCCUUUGUGCGGCGAAGUGGCGCCCCAAGGGAGCCAAGAAAAGCCCUUACCGAGUCCAUCCCCAAAAGGGAUGGCGCGGAGCGUCGGUGACCGUACCGGAAACCGCCACAGGUGGGCGAGGAGAGUAUCCACAGGCGCGCGGGAUAACCCCUGCCAAGGAACUCUGCAAAAUGUCCCCGUAACUUCGGGAGAAGGGGAGCCGUAGUAGGGUGAAAGGGCCUUCGCGCCCAAGUAGCCCGAGGGGAGAAGGGGAGCCGUAGUAGGGUGAAAGGGCCUUCGCGCCCAAGUAGCCCGAGGCGGUCGCAGAUAAGCGGCCGGGGCGACUGUUUAACAAAAACACAGGUUCCUGCCAACCCGAAAGGGGAGGUAUAGGGGCCGACGCCUGGCCAGUGCCCGAAGGUUAAGGGGACGGGUUCGCCGGGCUCUCGCCCGGCAAAGCUCGCGCCCCGAAGCCCGGGUAAACGCCGGCCGUAACCCUGACGGUCCUAAGGUAGCGAAAUUCCUUGUCGGGUAAGUUCCGACCCGCACGAAAGGCGUAACGACUUCGGCGCUGUCUCGGCGGGGGGCCCGGUGAAACUGUGGUGUCCGUGAAGACGCGGACUACCCGCGGCGGGACGGAAAGACCCCGUGGAGCUUUACUGCAGCCUGGCCUUGGGCUUUGGGGCGGGAUGCAGAGAAUAGGUGGGAGCCUGUGAAGCUCGCCCUCCGGGGCGGGUGGAGGCGCCAGUGGAAUACCACCCUUCCCGCUCUUGGGUCCUAACUUGGUCCCGUGAAUCCGGGCCAAGGACAGGGUCAGGUGGGCAGUUUGGCUGGGGCGGCGGCCUCCUAAAAGGUAACGGAGGCGUCCAAAGGUCCCCUCAGGCGGGAUGGAAAUCCGCCGUGGAGUGCAAAGGCAUAAGGGGGCCUGACUGUGAGGCUCACAAGCCGAGCAGCCGCGAAAGCGGGGCUUAGUGACCCGGCGGUUUGGGAGUGGGACCGCCGCCGAUCAACGGAUAAAAGCUACCCCGGGGAUAACAGGCUAAUGGCGCCCGAGCGUCCCCAGCGACGGCGCCGUUUGGCACCUCGAUGUCGGCUCAUCGCAUCCUGGGGCUGAAGCCGGUCCCAAGGGUUGGGCUGUUCGCCCAUUAAAGCGGUACGUGAGCUGGGUUCAGACCGUCGUGAGACAGGUCGGUCCCUAUCCGCCGCGGGCGCAGGAGGCUUGAGGGGGGCUCGCCCUAGUACGAGAGGACCGGGCGGGACCAGCCUCUGGUGUCCCGGCUGUCGCGCCAGCGGCACGCGCCGGGUAGCCAUGCUGGGUCGGGAUAACCGCUGAAAGCAUCUAAGCGGGAAGCCCACCCCAAGAUAAGGCCUCCCACGGGGGCAACCCGGUAAGGGCCCGGGAAGACUACCCGGUUGAUGGGCCGGAGGUGGAAGCCCAGCAAUGGGUGGAGCUGACCGGUCCCAAUAGCCCGAGGGCUUGACU